rnacentral:lncRNA from 1 species
GCCAUUUUCCUCCGGAAGUGCGGAUCCCAGCGGUGGUCGUGUAGCUGAGCAGGCCUGGGGCUUGGUUCUAUGUCCCUGUGGCUAUGUUUCCAGUGUCCUCUGGGUGUUUCCAAGAGCAACAAGAAACGAAUAAAUCUCUGCCAUAGGAGUUUUAGCCAAUUCAGAGGCCUUGCUCCCCACAAUUUGGAAAAUUCCUUUGGAUUUGACCAAGUCAGGAAGAGAAGGGAGAAAAGUGAAACAACAAUAAAGCCCCAAGCAUAAACAAACAAAAAGAGUUAAGCAAAACAACAAAUGCACAAUUCAUAUGAUUACUGAGUGUUCUAAUGGUAAGGAGAAACUAAAAGCAGAAAUUAAAAGCAGCUGGUGAGUAAUCUUAAAUUUUAGUCAUUAAGGACAAAUUUUAAGACAAAACUCUAAUUCAGCUACUCACCUGGAAACAAGGCUCAGGCUGGUGAUCGUUCUCUGCCAUCUUAGAAGCUGAAAACAACUUACACUCACCUUCCCUGUCAGAAGCAAGCUGAAACUCAGGAAAGGAGGUGCCUGCUCUCCAUCACCACAGAAGCAGGAAAACUUGCCUUCCUUGUUGGAAAUGAGUAAAACUUCAGAAAAGGAGUUGUACAGAAAAAUCAAACUUAGAUCUCAACCAGAUUUUGGGAGACCAGGGACUCUUUGCAGGGGAGAAGCUCCACAACCUCAGCAAAUUAUCCUGUUGGUUUGGGCAAUAAAGAUAGCCCAUGUUGGUAUCAAUCAAUAACGAGAUUUAUCAAAGGUCAGGGCCACCUUUGUAAUGACCUUCUCUGUCUUUUUUUAUCUUUAUUGGUAUAUACGUUUUGUCGAAACUGGGAGUGUAACACCUGAUUUCUUCUGUUUUCCAUUUGCUUGAAAGAUUUUUCACCAUUCCUUCAUUUUGAGCCUAUGUAUGGCACUGCAUGUGAGAUGGGUUUCUUGGAGACAGCAUACUCAAAUGGGUCUUUGUUCUUUAUCCAGCUUGCCCCCCUGUGUCUUUCAAUCGGAGCAUUUAGCCCAUUUCCAUUUAAGGUUAGUAAUGGUAUGUGUGGAUUAGAUCCUGUCGUCAUGCUGUCAGCUAGUUAUUUUGCAGACUUGUGUAUGUGGUUGGUUUUUAGCAUUACUGGUCUGUGUACUUCGGUGCAUUUUUGUAGUGGCUGGUGAUGGUCUUUUCUUUCCAUAUUUAGUGCUUCAUUCAGGAGCUCUUGUAAGGUAGAUCUGGUGAUAAUGAAUUCUCUCAGCAUUUGCUUGUCUGAAAAGGAUCUUGUUUCUCCUUCACUUAUGAUGCUUAAUUUUGCUGGACAUGAAAUUCUGGGUUGAAAUUUCUUUUUCUUUUAACCAUGUAUAAUAACACCAUGUUAUUAUAUGGUAUAUCUGUCUCUGCCAUACUACGUGAAAUUUCUUUUCUUUAAGAAGUUGAAUAUCUUUUCUGGCUUGUAGGGUUUCAGCUGAGAAGUCUGCUAAGUCUGAUGGAAUUCCCUUUGCAGGUGACGUUGCCUUUCUCCCUAGCUGCCUUUAACAGUGUUUCUUUCAUUUUGACCUUGGAGAAUCUGAUGAUUAUAUGUCUUGGGGAUGAUCUUCUCAUGGCUUAUCUUACUGAGGUUCUCUGGAUUUCCUGAAUUGGAAUGUUGGCUUGUCUGGAUAGGUUGGGGAUAUUCUCAUGAAUGAUAUUCUGAAGUAUGUUUUCCAAGUUGGUUCCAUUCUCCUCAUCUCUUUCACGUACACUAAUCAGUCAUAGAUUUGGUCGUUUAUAUAAUCUCAUAUUUCUUGGAUGUUUUGUUCAUUCAUUUUCCUUCUUUUUUCCCCCAUUCUUGUCUGCCUGUUUUAUUUCAGAAAGCCAGUUUUCAAGCUCUGGGAUUCUUUCCUCUGCUUGGUCUAUUCU